AAUAAAUGCAGCUUCUAACUUUCAAAAUGCCUUUGUUUAGUCACAAUCGGCAAUCACUAAAAGAAAAUUACAAAGAGAGAAAACAGCCGUUGGAAGCUACUAUUUCCACUACAAACCCCCAAAUUCUCGAGUCUACAUGAAAAAGGCCAGCGUUGUAUGCUGCAAUAAUGUUAACUAUAACACUUGUAUUCUGAUUUAAACAUAAAAAAGCUAAACCUCCCAUAAGCACAGUGGUGACACAGUUGCAUAUCUGUUUUUCAAACGGUAUGAAGUCUCAGACUACAAUGAAGAAACAUAAACUAAUCUCACAUGGUAGCUUCUACCUCGGGAUCAGUUUCAACAGGCACCGUAGGUGAAUUAUUGCCACCUCUCAAACGUGAAGAUACAUUGUCAAUAGCAGAAUUCAGUUGGCUUAUUUUUGCAUUCAAGGUCUGCCUAGUCUUCUCUAAACCUUCAUCAUAGUAUAUUGGUCGCUUGGCCCUCCGAAACCCAUAUUCAUCUUCAUUUAGCAGGGAUCUUCUAAUCUGAAGCAAUAGCAAACAAACAAAAAUAAAACCAGCACUUGCAACAUAAUAUCAGAGCUGAAGCUUCAGCUCAACAUAAGGGACUAUAUAAGACAGCCAAACAUUCCAUGACUAGGGAGCAACAAAAAACAGCAUCUCCAUUGACAUCAUCCAACAAUAAUAUAAUGGAUUAUGAACAGGUGAUUGGCUUUUAUUUAUGCACAGAAGUUUCAGCAGUGAUAAGUCAUUAAGACAGACUUGUAGACGCCAGGCAAUCGAGUGAAGAUACAGCUAUAAAUGAAGAAAUAUAUAGAAGGCAAAAAAAUAUUAGUAUAACAAUAGUACUUUCAAUUAACUGUUGAAUCAUGUUACAGUAUCACCGUCAUUUCAUUGGCUAACACAAAGGCAAGGAUGAGCACCCAUAUCAAUGGACAACAGAUUAAGCAACAAAAUGGUAUCAAGCAGCAUUUCAACAUCAAUAGUUUUCAAUGUUGUAAGCAUAGCGUAUAGAUGGAAUAGCAUGGAUGUCAGGCUAUUAAACAUUGUAAUAACCUUCAUAGGCUACACAUUUCCUGUUGCAAAAGGAGAAAGUUCAGCAAUUCAUCCAAUUCAUAAACUACUAUGUGUUGUAGAUGCACAAUACAAUUUUUGAGAAGCAUCAAUUAUAAUUCAUCUUCAUGCUUCAGACAUGCAAGACUCAACAAGAUGUCAUGAGCUGGAGACAGUUCUGCAAUUGUGCAGCAAUUAGUAUUUUGUGUUUCCCCUCUACAUGAUGCAUUUAAAAGAAGGAAAUGUUUCCCUUUGCUGUUACAUCUUUUCAAAACCUUUGAAGGAAAAUUUUAAUGCCAAAAACUAAAAAGGGCUAAAGAAAGACAUAUAAUCACCUGAGGAGCAAAAAUAUAAGCUAAAGUUCCAAAUAUGGCGCCUCCUAAAAGAAAACCAGCAACAAAAUCACUGCCACCACCCCUACUACCAUCACUGCACAUAACAGAGGAAAUGAUAAGACAAAUCUCAAAAAAUAGCAUAAGCAAGGUAUGCUCAGAGAGUGAAAAAUUAGCCUGAUAUAAAAAUCCAGAUAAUAUGGGUCAGGUAAACAAUACAAAAACAAAGCUAGAUUAACAAUAUGAAAAGCAUAAGAAACAGUCAUUUAAAAAGAAAAAGGGGUUCAUUCCACACCCGUAACACCAUUCACUUAGGCUACAGGUGAUUAAAAAAAAAAAAAGUCCUUAUGGCUGAUAGAAUAGCAGACCCGUGUUAAAACAACAUUUUUGUCCACAUAAAUGAUGAUACAUUAAAUCAUAGAAGGAAAAAAAAUAGAAAUAGCAGAAAUAAACACGGCACCCACGAAAUAAGAAACAUCUCACAUCCCAAUCAGCAACUGGCAACACAACCUUCCAUCGUAAAUCAUAAUUUACCAAUGAUAAUGGCUUCAGAGAGAUAUUUGAAAUUUAACUUAAGAAGAUGAACUAUCUAAUUUCGAUUCUUAAUUGCUCCCUACUGCAAGAUGUUAAUGAAGCGACCUUCCUAAAGUGGAUGUGUUGAACCUUAGGACUCAUAUAUCCUUAUCCAAUGCUACCAAACUGCCUACUAAAAUUAUUCUCUUCAUACCCAAAUCUGCUUGCUUGCCAAGUCUCACAAACUUAUGCCCUUUUUCCAUCCAAGUAUCAUGCAAUAAAAUCAGAGAAUAAUAGAUCAAAGGGGGAGAAGGGAGGAGGGGAGGCAAAUAUGGACUCUCAGCUGCUUUUUUUUACCCUCAGUUGUAUGUAUUAAUUUGAAUAAAAAAGGAAAACACAAUAAAAGGAUCAAAUGACAAUAAAUACUAUAAAUUCCGGCAAACGAUGACAUGCCUUGUAUCUAAGUUUCCAUGGUUUUCGAUGCUCUUCUCAUAUAAUUUAUUCGGAUGUCCAUUAUAGAGAAAAGAGACCAGAACAACAUACUUGUAUUCUGCACGAACAGACAACUUGCGGUUUCCCACCUGGUUUGACUUCCUUUGAACUGCCAGUUUUGAUUUUUUUGCAAAUGAGUUGGACUUGGAGGACCAAAGUUCAUGCGCCUUCAAUUGAGAACCACCUGAGAUUGACACAGGAGCAAAACUAGUCGCCAUGAUAGAACAGGAGAAAAGAUCUAGACAGAGAAAGUGAAAAGAGAUAUAGAGAGAGAGGAUCUAGUACCAUUCAUGG
rnacentral:misc_RNA from 1 species